GAUGAAGAACGUAGCGAAAUGCGAUAAGUAAUGUGAAUUGCAGAAUUCAGUGAAUCAUCGAAUCUUUGAACGCACCUUGCGCCCUUUGGCCAUUCCGAAGGGCAUGCCUGUUUGAGUAUCAUGAACACCUCAACUCUUUAUGGUUUUCCAUGAUGAGCUCGGACUCUGGGGGUUUUGCUGGCUCACAGUCGGCUCCUCUAAAAUGAAUCAGCUUACCAGUGUUUGGUGGGUAUCAUGGGUGUGAUAACUAUCUACGCUUGUGGUUUUUCCACCAGGUAACCUUCAGCAGUGGAGGUUCGCUGGAGCUCAUAGAUGUCUCUCCUCAGUGAGGACAGCCCUUUGAAUGUUUGAUCUCAAAUCAGGUAGGACUACCCGCUGAACUUAAGCAUAUCAAUAAGCGGAGGA
rnacentral:misc_RNA from 1 species